UGGUGGGUAGUUUGACUGGGGCGGUCUCCUCCUAAAGAGUAACGGAGGAGCACGAAGGUUGGCUAAUCCUGGUCGGACAUCAGGAGGUUAGUGCAAUGGCAUAAGCCAGCUUGACUGCGAGCGUGACGGCGCGAGCAGGUGCGAAAGCAGGUCAUAGUGAUCCGGUGGUUCUGAAUGGAAGGGCCAUCGCUCAACGGAUAAAAGGUACUCCGGGGAUAACAGGCUGAUACCGCCCAAGAGUUCAUAUCGACGGCGGUGUUUGGCACCUCGAUGUCGGCUCAUCACAUCCUGGGGCUGAAGUAGGUCCCAAGGGUAUGGCUGUUCGCCAUUUAAAGUGGUACGCGAGCUGGGUUUAGAACGUCGUGAGACAGUUCGGUCCCUAUCUGCCGUGGGCGCUGGAGAACUGAGGGGGGCUGCUCCUAGUACGAGAGGACCGGAGUGGACGCAUCACUGGUGUUCGGGUUGUCAUGCCAAUGGCACUGCCCGGUAGCUAAAUGCGGAAGAGAUAAGUGCUGAAAGCAUCUAAGCACGAAACUUGCCCCGAGAUGAGUUCUCCCUGAGACUUAGAGUCUCCUGAAGGAACGUUGAAGACGACGACGUUGAUAGGCCGGGUGUGUAAGCGCAGCGAUGCGUUGAGCUAACCGGUACUAAUGAACCGUGAGG
rnacentral:rRNA from 16 species